GUCGAUGUCGUCUCAAUCCUCGACCAACGCGACAUUCACCGGAUAAAACCCGGUGGAUGCGGGGAUCUUCGCGUCUAUCGAGUAGGAUCCGAUGCGAAUGGCCAUGGAUUAGGGUUUACAGAACGCCGAGGGUUUUGUUGUCACGGUACUGGUGCCCUGGCGGGUGGGCAUCGGAAGGAUAUGAAUUUUGGCUAUCGGAGAAGAUUUAGAUCCAAUUUGAUCGGUGCGAGGGCUUAUGAUUUGGUUGCUUAUUAUGUUGUUUUAAUCGGAUUUUGUUAUGGGUGUGAUAUAUCCACGACAAAACAGAGCUGUUUGUUCAGGGCCUCUUUCGACUGUAGGACUUUUGAGAAGGGUUCCAGUCCUUAAGAUUUUUUUUCCUGACAAUGCCCUUUGGAUCGUAGAAUUGGAUUGGGUUAUCUGUUAUGUGCGCUUGUAGAAAUACAUCUGGCUAAUAUUUGUUACCAAAUUAAUCUUUAACAACUUUCCUACUGGUUGUGUCACAUUCAUAUGUGGUGUGGGUGGGUUCUUAUAAUUUGGUGUCUCAAGGAAAGCUGGAAAAGUAGAUAAUUGAGUUGAUCGUGACACAGCUUGCUCAAAAUGACGAUGCAUUAAACGCUGCUGGGCAUUGUCGAAUCACUAGCAGCCUAAUAGGUUUUGGGUCUGCUUGCCUGUGAAUAAGGUAACACUAAAUGGAUUAUUUGUGUUUAUGCACAAGUGCAUUGCUAAAUUUAGCGAUUCCUAAGGGUUUUAGUCUAACGAAUGGUCCUUCCCUUCAACAAGAGAGUGAAUAUCCGUGGAUAUGUCUUGCAUGUGUUCCUUGGAAGAAUUUUUGUUGAUUUUGGUGCAGUUAAGCACAUAAGCUUGGUCUGUAUAUUUAAAUUCCAUGCUUGAGCAUCUUGGUGUGUUCUCUUUUUUCUUUCUGCUCUGCAGAGGAAGGCUGGCUGUUAAUGUAGGGCAUGUUUGGUUGGUAACUAAUUGCCUUAGCUUAGGUGCUCAAAUUCUUAGCCUCACUUUGGAUUGCCCAAGGGAAUUUUGCCACACUUUUUGUGUGUAUGACAUGUGGACUUAUAUUGAACAAAAAGAAUCUUGCCUUAGGUGUGGCUAGAACCAAACACACACCUAACCUGGUCAAACUUGCCUAACUUGAUAUGUGGGAAAGUGUGGCUGGGAACCAAGCAGCCCCUUAGUUAAUCCAACCUUCACUAUUUUGGUGAAGGAAAAUCCUUGUAUCAAAUGUAGAACUAAACUAGAAACUGAGGUAUAUGCCUAUUCUGAAAUAUCACAUGUGUGAUAUGCUCGUGGUUCUGUGAUAGUUAGCGUUUUUUUUGUACCUUUGUUAGAACGGCUUACGACAUGCCGUAAAUUGUCUCUCAAGAAUAUACUACUUUGGAGAACAUGAUGAUUUAUCCCUUGCUUAUUUGAAGUAAUAGGUUAUCUAUUUCGCAGCAUCUUAGUAACACACACCACAACCUUGUUGUCUUGUUGAAAUGCGUGGAAUGGAGUGAUGUACAUGUAUCAAGUCUGCAUAUUGUACUGGGUGUUUUUGGAAUUAAUUUAAAAUAGCAAUAUUUAGCAGCACUAUCACCAAAGAACUAGCCAUGGGCAUGGGUGCGUGGAAGUUAGCUAUCCAUGUGGCAGAACCAUGACUUGGUUUCGAGAUCUUAUCGGUUUUAACUCUAGCCUACCGCAACUUGUUUGGAACUGAGAGGCUUAAGUCAAAAUAAAGUGAAAUUGCGGGGCACAAUUAAAGUGAAAUUGCGGGGCGCAAAUAAAGUGAAAUUGCGGGGCACGACAGCAACAAAACAACCACCGCCUAUAUAUUGAGUUAUUGACCUCCAUUUCCGGUUCAUCCCACCUCCAACUUUCCUCCUCUUCCCCUCUUCUCCAGAUCUACUCCGCCGCCGCCUCCCAUGGCGCCUCCAGCCAGAAACCUUAACCCUAAUCCGAACACUAACAACCCCGAUCCUUCCUCCGACAUGGGUAUUCUCUUCGGUUCGCCUCCUACCGCUGCGCCUACCGCUGCACCCACGUUCCCUGCCGCCGUCGGCCCGCCGCCGCCGUUCGGCCCUUACUCCCACCCCUCGGCCACCUCUGCCUUUCACGGCGGCCCCUACCUCCACCACACGCAGGAUCUUCAUCCCCCUAUGCCCCGCCCACCCAUCUCCUUCCCCAUGCACCGCCCAGCGAUCUCCUUCCCCAUGCACCGCCCAGCCAUCUCCUUCCCCAUGCACCGCUCCUUCUCCAUUCCAGAUCUAAAUGCAAACCCUAGCGCCGCCUUGCCCGGCAGCUACCUUCACUACCCGCAGGAUCUCCGAUACCUCAGCUCCUACAGGCGAGACCUGAACCUGAGUGUUAACCUCAGAGCCGCCUUGGGCCGCCUGCAGGAUCGCCAAUCUCCCAUGGCCAGCUCAGGCAACUCCAUCCACACACUUAACCCAAACACAAACCUGAACCUGAGCGCCAACCCCAGCGCCGCCUCGCACGGCCGCUACCAUCAGAACGCGCAGGAUAUUCGACAUUCCAUGCCCCGCCCAGUAAUAUCCUUUGCCAUGCCAAACCGGAGCGACAACCCCCGCACUGUUGCAGGUGCCAAACCUGAACAGAAUAAAGGAGCACCGAACGGGAGGCAGAACAAUUCUAAUGAUGUUAUUCACCUUUCUGAUUCUGAUUCUGAUUCUGAUGAUUUUUUCGAAGAAGAGGCUCCCCCCACACACUCCAAGUCAAAUGGGAAAGCUUCAUCUGAUAGCCUAAAAACUGGUGGAAAGGCUUCAUCCUUUUCUAAUGGAGAAGGUAGCAAAGGAGGGAAGGCAUUUAGUGCUGGGAAAGGCGGGAAGGGCUCCGCAUCAAAUGCAAAGCCUGCAAUGUCUGAUGCAGAACUAAAGCUUCAGCUUGAUAUGCCUCCAAAUUCUAUAUUGUUAUCGAACUGUGAAGCAGCAGAAAUGUUGCAGAAAAUUCAAGGACAUAUGGCUAUCUUAUCAGAGGAUCCGACUAUAAAAAUUCCCGAGUCGUUUGACAAGGCCUUUCAAUAUGCAAAUGAAGGAAAUCACUUCACCUCUGCGAAGUCGGUGAAAGAAAUUCUGGAACCUCUUAAAGACUAUGGUGUUAAUGAUGGCGAGAUAUGCAUGAUAGCGAACAUUGGGCCUGAGACCAUCGAAGAGGUUUAUGCACUGAUACCGUCUCUCAAGGCUACUAGGUCCAUCAAUGAAGGCAAGAUCUUGGAGGCUCUUGCUGCCCUCGCUAACAUAAAAGUCUCCAAGUGAACCUCAGCUACACAGCUGAUCGGGCAAUGAAGGGUCCGUAACGGGGGGUCUCUGUGGUGUAUGGUUGUUCACCUCAGCUACACAGCUGAUCGGGCAAUGAAGGAUCCGUAAUGGGGGUCUCUGUGGUGUAUGGUUGUUCACCAAAAUCGAGCUCUUUCUUUCGAGGGCCGAAAUCAAGUUGUGUGUAUGUAAACCGUGCUGUGCACCUGUGUGCCAGUUCUAGGUCUGGCUGGUUGAACUUUGACUUCUGGAAACUAGCUUGUGUCUAGCUGCCGGUUUAGCUAGUUGUUGAGGUGAUGUACUCUGAAUUGCCAAGUUAUGCCCGAUGGUCUGGCACGCCUGAGCGAGGAAUAUUGUUGUUGCGGGCUGUGUGUUUCUGCAUUUCUGCUUGUCUGUUUA